GAUUCAAAUACAACGAUGCUGAAAUCACAACGAAGAGCGUUCAUACUUUUUUAAGACUAAAAACGCUUUUUCAAAAGGGAAUUAUAUUAAACAACAUGGCUCUAAAAGAAAUGCUUGCAGUACAGAUGCAAUCAGCACGAAUCUCUGGAAAUUUCGUAUAUCUUAACAAGAAGGUUGAAUCAAGACAUAAUCGAACAACUAUUUGCAACUUUUCGAGCCAUGGGAAGAUGUGACGAUCACCUCUCAGCCUUAGCCAUGAAAUGCCAAAAUUAUUUACUCGGGAAACAUGCCAUAUUCGCAGCCAACGCAAAGGACGUCGAUGGCGAUGAAAUUGAGGACGUUGCAUUGAUUAGCAACUUCGCAUCAUCUUUAAGACAUACAGCGCCAAGAAUUAACUAAAAAUUCUGCUAUAUAUAUAUAUAUAUAUGUCUAAUUAAAAAAAUUAAUAAUAUUUUGACGAGGACGUCAAUACUAGCAUCAACGAGUUGAACAUAAGUGACACCGAUGCGGAUGGCAACAAAUUUUCCAAUAUUUGCGUUUUUCCAAACGUGGUGGAGAGUGACAUCGAAAAUUCCAAGUGGACAUUGAACAAUGUUGCUGGCAGAACAAGUUUAAAUAUUUUCAAAUCCAAUGAAGAAGAAAACUUACCUGGAUGAGGCAUUCAAAUUUGUUCGUGGCUAUGUGGCUUACAGAUUUCGAGAGAAAUAUCUUUUUUUGGCAUCAUCGAACGUUACUCGCUCUGAAUGUGAUAAUCUACCUGAUGACAGUUGCAAUCAUUGGAUUUCUCUUAUAUCCAUUGGAAAUUCACGCAACCUUCAAUGGAACUUAUCACGGUCGGAAAAGUAAUGGUAAAAAAGUUAAAAGAAAUGCGUGGUGAUGAUUUUGAUAGGUGGUCAAAAUUUUCCAUCGAUUGAAGUCACAUACUAUUGAGGCAAUGGAAAAGAGCGUGAACAUGUCAGAAGAAGCAAUUUUAUACAUGGCACGAUGUAUGACGUGGUUCAGAGUUCUGCGGUUC